UUCUGCUCUGAAUUAGAUUGGCAAAUGUCACAUGUACAAAAUGCAAUUGGAUUCACCUGUCAAGCUACACACAAUUUUAAGUGGAGACAUCUGAUGUCUGAGUCCGGAAAUUAAUGCAUACACCCAAUAUUUUCAUUCAAAAAUUUUAUAUUAUCGAGAAAGUAAAAGAAAAAGACGUAAAAAAAAUGUUUCAGUAGGAAUAGAUUUUUUAUUAAGAUAAAUAACUAGGGGGAGAUACAAACGAUUAAACCAAGAUUCCAAUGUAUAAUAGAGUGUUUCCGUAGUCAAAAAAUAAAUAAAUGGUAGUCGUUAAUUAAAAGUGCAAAAAAUUCUAAGACAAAUCAUGACAUUUACACAAAGCAUCGAAUGAUAUUGACACUUCCCGAAGCAAAAAAUUCUUUAUAGCAAAAUGUGUCUAAUGUCAAAAUAUUGAAUUAGCAUUAUUGAUAUGAACCGAGCCUUAUGACAUUUGACGUUCAUUUCAUUGGUUUUCGUAAUGUCAUAAUCGCCGCUUCAUCCAUACCGAGAACAUGUUUAUCGUUGUAAAUACCAAGUUUACGACAUAAACUACAGCAGUGUUAAUUCCAAUUCAACGUUUCAAUUAUUCUACGAUUUUGUUAAUAAUUCAUAUUAUUUUCGAUAUACGUGCGUUUUGUAUCAAUUUAUUCCGAAUUGUUCAACACUUGAUCGAUCGAUUGAUCCGGAGUCCAAGCAGAUUGUUGAAUUCAAAUCACCGAAAAUGGCGAAUCGUUUCAAGCCAUCCAUACCAGCGAAGGGAGAAACGAAGGAUGAGAUUACAACGAUCAAAUGUGCGCUGAAGACAAUCAUUCGCCCACAAUUCCAGCAAGCACUGAUGAGCAAAAUAACGGACCUGAGUUUGCAAGCCACUUCAAUUUGCUUUUUGGGCUCAUUACUGUUCUUGUUCGAGGUGCAAAAGGCGUACGAACAUAGGCAUUGAGGAUAAUGAUUUCGCAUUCUUUGGUCGAAGUGGAGAAAAAAAGAUCCAACUCUGCUUUAACCAAGUGCUAUGGCAUAACAAUCAGCCACCGAAACCGAAGUCGACGUACAGACCACGAGGAACAAAGCCACGAGAACCACUACUUUGACUUUGACACAGACUGUGGACCACAACACACAAGAAGUGAUCGAUUCAAGACGUGCCAUAAUUUUGUUCCUGAUCCAGCCUUUGAAUUGCCGUGAUAAUUGUGACACAAAAGAGCCGUCGACAACAAAAAGUGGAACGAUCAAAACCAAACCAAAUCAUCAAAUGAUCAAUCGUAUUUACAUUAUUUUUUGACAACGCGAUUGAUGUUGCCGAAGAAGUGUAUGUCGUCGAUGAAAGUGAGAUGGAUGUUGAAAUGGUGAAUGCUCCCGAAGAAGAAAAAAAUCAAGAGGAAAGAGUAUUGAAACCCGUUUGCCAUCGCUGCUAUAUGUAUUUUAUACAAAGGUCGCUUUGAAUUAUUCAUGAGCUAUACUCCCGAAAUAUUCAGACGAAAUUCAGGAAUCAAAAUAUACUUCAACGGAUUCAAUACAUAUGUGGUUGAGGCCAAGCCAAAUGCAGCAGCUUCUAAGUUUUAGUUUUGAUUUUUGAAUUUAACAAUAAUAAUUAUAAUAUCUCUAGGCCAGUACCUUAAAUGUGGUUGAACUAAAUUUGUUAAACCACUUGGUAUAGAAGACGAAUAUGCAAUUACCAUUAUCAUUAUCUCCUUAACCCUCUAGUGCAUAGCCCUGCCUUUAGGCAAUAUUAUAAAAUAUUGUCUAAAAUAUAUAAUAAAAAACAAAUGAUUCUAUUUAUGAAUUCAAAUAUAUUCAGCAGGGCUCAGGCUUUCAUUUGCCGGUCAUUUGACAAGUGAAAAUAAAGCAGUUGUUUAAUUAUAAACACAGAUGUACGCGAAAACAGACAUUUGACAAAUUAUCUCUCUCUUCGUUUAUAGCAAUUUUAUAUCAGUUUAAACAAUGGUUUCGAUUGUUCUCCAAAUUUUGAGCAAUAG